UGAAAGACCAAGGGUUCCAGUCCAACGUUAAUCGGGGCUGGGUGAGUCGACCCCUAAGGCGAGGCCGAGAGGCGUAGUCGAUGGGAAAUUGGUUAAUAUUCCAAUACUUCUGUGUAAUGCGAUGAGAGGACGGAGAAGGUUAAGUCAGCCUGGCGUUGGUUGUCCAGGUGGAAGGUUGUAGGCAUGUAUCUUAGGCAAAUCCGGGGUACUCUAUGCUGAGAACUGAUAGCAAGCUGUACUUGUACAGUGAAGUGGCUGAUACCAUGCUUCCAGGAAAAGUCUCUAAGCUUCAGUUACACAGGAAUCGUACCCGAAACCGACACAGGUGGUCAGGUCGAGUAGACCAAAGCGCUUGAGAGAACUCUGCUGAAGGAACUAGGCAAAAUGGUACCGUAACUUCGGGAGAAGGUACGCUGCUGACGGUGAUGGGACUUGCUCCCUGAGCUAUUGGCAGCCACAGAAACCAGGCCGCUGCAACUGUUUAUUAAAAACAUAGCACUCUGCAAACACGAAAGUGGACGUAUAGGGUGUGAUGCCUGCCCGGUGCUGGAAGGUUAAUUGAUGGGGUUAGCGUAAGCGAAGCUCUUGAUCGAAGCCCCAGUAAACGGCGGCCGUAACAAUAACGGUCCUAAGGUAGCGAAAUUCCUUGUCGGGUAAGUUCCGACCUGCACGAAUGGCAUAAUGAUGGCGGCGCUGUCUCCAGCAGAGGCUCAGUGAAAUCGAAAUCGCUGUGAAGAUGCAGUGUACCCGCGGCUAGACGGAAAGACCCCGUGAACCUUUACUGCAGCUUGACAUUGAACUUUGACCUUACUUGUGUAGGAUAGGUGGGAGGCUUUGAAGUUGGAACGCUAGUUCCAAUGGAGCCGUCCUUGAAAUACCACCCUGGUAAUGUUGAGGUUCUAACUCUGCCCCGUAAUCUGGGGCGAGGACCAUGUCUGGUGGGUAGUUUGACUGGGGCGGUCUCCUCCUAAAGAGUAACGGAGGAGUACGAAGGUGCGCUCAGCGUGGUCGGAAAUCACGCGUAGAGUAUAAAGGCAAAAGCGCGCUUAACUGCGAGACCCACAAGUCGAGCAGGUACGAAAGUAGGUCUUAGUGAUCCGGUGGUUCUGUAUGGAAGGGCCAUCGCUCAACGGAUAAAAGGUACUCUGGGGAUAACAGGCUGAUACCGCCCAAGAGUUCAUAUCGACGGCGGUGUUUGGCACCUCGAUGUCGGCUCAUCUCAUCCUGGGGCUGAAGCAGGUCCCAAGGGUAUGGCUGUUCGCCAUUUAAAGAGGUACGCGAGCUGGGUUUAGAACGUCGUGAGACAGUUCGGUCCCUAUCUACCGUGGGCGCUGGAAAUUUGAGAGGAUCUGCUCCUAGUACGAGAGGACCAGAGUGGACGAACCUCUGGUGUACCGGUUGUGACGCCAGUCGCAUCGCCGGGUAGCUAUGUUCGGAAGGGAUAACCGCUGAAAGCAUCUAAGCGGGAAGCCUACCUCAAGAUAAGAUUUCCCUAGGAAUUUAUUCCUCUAAAGAGCCGUUCGAGACUAGGACGUUGAUAGGUUGGGUGUGGAAGCACGGUGACGUGUGAAGCUGACCAAUACUAAUUGCUCGUGAGGCUUGACUAA
rnacentral:rRNA from 1 species